rnacentral:rRNA from 1 species
UACGGAGGAUCCGAGCGUUAUCCGGAUUUAUUGGGUUUAAAGGGUGCGUAGGUGGCCUGUUAAGUCAGGGGUGAAAGACGGUAGCUCAACUAUCGCAGUGCCCUUGAUACUGAUGGGCUUGAAUGAACUAGAGGUAGGCGGAAUGUGACAAGUAGCGGUGAAAUGCAUAGAUAUGUCACAGAACACCAAUUGCGAAGGCAGCUUACUAUGGUUUUAUUGACACUGAGGCACGAAAGCGUGGGGAUCAAAUGGG